rnacentral:misc_RNA from 1 species
UUUCCGUAGGUGAACCUGCGGAAGGAUCAUUAAUGGGAAAUCAAAUCAAAACAAAUGUUCUGUUGCACUGGGUGUGCUGUGUGGUGGUGGUGUGAGACACGGAGAUUCAAUCAUUGGAAUUCAAUCAUUGGAAUUCAAUCAUUGGAGAUUCAAUCAUUGGAGAUUCAAUCAUUGGAGAUUCAAUCAUUGGAGAUUCAAUCAUUGGAGAUUCAAUCAUUGGAGAUUCAAUCAUUGGAGAUUCAAUCAUUGGAGAUUCAAUCAUUGGAGAUUCAAUCAUUUAAUCUCAAUCAUUCAAUCUAAAUCAUCGCCACACAACACAACUAUCUAUCACACUCGAUCAACAACAACACACUCACACACAACAGCAAACAACUUUUAACAAUGGAUCUCUUGGCUCUU